GACGAACGCUGGCGGCGUGCUUAACACAUGCAAGUCGAACGAAGUGGCGCACGGGUGAGUAACGCGUAAUCAACCUGCCCUUCAGAGGGGGACAACAGUUGGAAACGACUGCUAAUACCGCAUACUGAAGGAGGGGAUUGCGUCUGAUUAGCUAGUUGGAGGGGUAAAGGCCCACCAGGGCGAUGAUCAGUAGCCGGGCUGAGAGGAUGAACGGCCAAAUUGGGAAUGAGACAAGGCCCAGACUCCUACGGGAGGCAGCAGUGGGGAAUCUGCCGCAAUGGACGAAAGUCUGACGGAGGAACGCCGCGGGAGUGAGGACGGCCGUCGGGUUGUAAAGCUCUGUUAAUCGGGACGCGUUACCGGAAUAGAAAGCCACGGCUAACUUCGUGCCAGCCGCCGCGGUAAUAC
rnacentral:rRNA from 1 species